AUCGAACGCUGGCGGCAGGCUUAACACAUGCAAGUCGAGCGGAGUGAUGGUGCUUGCACUAUCACUUAGCGGCGGACGGGUGAGUAAUGCUUAGGAAUCUGCCUAUUAGUGGGGGACAACAUCUCGAAAGGGAUGCUAAUACCGCAUACGUCCUACGGGAGAAAGCAGGGGAUCACUUGUGACCUUGCGCUAAUAGAUGAGCCUAAGUCGGAUUAGCUAGUUGGUGGGGUAAAGGCCUACCAAGGCGACGAUCUGUAGCGGGUCUAAGAGGAUGAUCCGCCACACUGGGACUGAGACACGGCCCAGACUCCUACGGGAGGCAGCAGUGGGGAAUAUUGGACAAUGGGCGGAAGCCUGAUCCAGCCAUGCCGCGUGUGUGAAGAAGGCCUUAUGGUUGUAAAGCACUUUAAGCGAGGAGGAGGCUACUUUAGUUAAUACCUAGAGAUAGUGGACGUUACUCGCAGAAUAAGCACCGGCUAACUCUGUGCCAGCAGCCGCCGUAA
rnacentral:rRNA from 1 species